UGAAUGCCAGGUUUUCUGAAGAAACACCCCAGCUUGUCCAGAAGGCUUAUUACUCCAGUUCCCUAGAUUCCACCUCCCUCUGGCUGGCUACCUUCUUGGCCAAGUUCUUCCACCCACCAGCCUUUCCCCUGGUUCCUGCUGUCAUCAACCUUUUGAUUAUAUCAGGGCUCAGCUUAAACGUCUUAUCUUAUUCCCAGGUGUUUACCUAUCACACUGUCUUCUGUAUUGACACUGCAUCUAUUUCCUCUAUGACUUUAUCUCCAGCCUUCAGCACAGCACCUGCUAAAAGGAAAGCACCCGAUGAAGAACGUGCAUGUUGAGUGGAGGGGCUCCUGUGUGGAAGUCCGAUGACGUCACAUGGGAGUCAGUUCUCUUCUGCGACAAUGUGGAUCUGCCUUACCUUUCCUGUACAUCCAAGUCCAACGGCAUGAGUUUCUGUAUUAUUGGCUAUUGUUAUAAUAAACUGUCUCUCAA